GCGGCGCCGGAGGUCAGGCGCAGUUCGCCAACAGAGAGAGAAAGAAAUGGAUAGAUAGGAGUGUACGCGCACCACGGGAUCUUUUCCUACCUUUUUCUAGCUUCCCAAAGCUGGUAACACACGGCUGGUACUACAUCGUGCAGGAGUGUGCGGCGCCGGCAAGUGUUCGACAUCGUGGUAGUGCAAGAGGCCCCGAAGGCGGUUUGAAGGAGGGUCUAGUCAAGCAUAAGUGCUAACUCAAGAAUCUGUGAUUUUUCCAUUACACUUCCCCCCACGCUGAUUGUGAUAUAUUAUUCUUCGCUCAUUGAUACCCCCAACAAACCGUCAAGAUGGUGCAAGUACUUCCAGUCAUGAGGAUGACGCCACACACCGCCACAGCAUUGCCUGCCCGCCAUGCAGCUGUGCAACCUAGGAGACGUGACAAGUGUGUUAAUGGACACCACCAACUUGGAGCAGGUGCGCGAGGAAGCCAAGGAAAGGCGUAAGAGGAGGAAGAAGAAGCGUUCAGGGUCCACUCUAGUUGCCAGUGUUUUCAGUGAUCUGUACAAACUUACCGGUGAGGUGUUGGGGCAGGGUGCAUAUGCUUCUGUGCAGACUUGUGUCAACAUCUAUACAGACAUAGAGUAUGCAGUAAAGAUCAUAGAAAAGGUACCAUCACACAGCCGAACGCGAGUCUUCAAGGAGGUUGAGAUGUUCCACCACUGCCAAGGACACAAGAACAUCAUUCAGUUGGUGGAGUUCUUCGAGGAGGAUGACAAAUUCUACUUAGUGUUUGAGAAGAUCUACGGUGGGCCUUUGCUGUCCCACAUCCAGCGCAGGACCCACUUCACCGAAGCAGAGGCAUCCAUGGUGAUCCGGGACCUUGCCUCUGCCUUGGCCUUCCUCCACAGCAAGGGCAUUGCUCACCGGGACCUCAAACCAGAGAACAUUCUCUGUGUUUACCCGGAUCAGCUUUGCCCCGUGAAGAUCUGUGAUUUUGAUCUUGGUUCCGGGAUCAAGUUCAACUCCAAUCUGAGCUCACCAUUGGCAACUCCACAGCUGCUGACACCUGUGGGCUCUGCUGAGUUCAUGGCUCCGGAAGUUGUGGAGGGCUUUAUUAAUGAUGAUGCUGGACCAUAUGACAAACGGUGCGAUCUGUGGUCCCUUGGCGUGGUGACCUAUAUUCUCCUUUGUGGCUAUCCUCCCUUCUGUGGCAACUGUGGGGAAGAUUGUGGCUGGGAGAGAGGGGAAGCCUGCCCUCAGUGUCAGGAUCUCCUCUUUACAAACAUUCAGGAUGGCAGCUAUGAAUUCCCCAAACCUGAGUGGUCCUUAAUCAGUGAGGAAGCAAAGGACCUGAUAAAAAAGCUGCUGGUGAAGGAUGCCUCCCAGAGACUAUCUGCAGAGAUGGUCCUGGCUCAUCCCUGGAUCAGGAAUGGAGGCCCCACCACCUGCCUGGAGACUCCUAACAUUAUCAGAAAGAACCACAGUGCACACCAGCUGUCCUUGUUUGCCGAAUCCUGCAUGGCACUCAACAGGGUACUGCUGCAGCACUUCAGCAUGAACCAGGAUGAGGAGUGUGAGAACAUGCACGGGGACGAGCCACCCUUUGGCCUGUCACCACCGUCAGAGUCGCGACUCGCCCAGCGGCGCCUGCGUUCUCUCAGCCUCAACACGGAGCACCUCCUCACUGCCACCGGACUGACGAUGGAGAAACAAAUGAGAGAAGAAGCAAAGAAGAAAGGAUGGUGUUUGCUUGGUGGUGGCGCCGCGUACCGCCCUGGCGACGACCUUCAGACACCUUCCCCACCGCGGCCUCAGUCCAGCCUAGCAGUAAUGCGCUGUGCCCCGCGUGAUGCUGCGCAGCUGUGUGUGUGUUGCCAACCGUCUGAGGGCGGCGCGCAGGUGUAGUGAAUGUUUUGGCCGCCAGCCCAGCCCAGCCCAGCGCAGGUUUCCCUUCGCCAAUCGGCGUGCGCACUCGUGACUCGUGACCCCACCUCCCCCCCCCCUUGUAUGGAACCUCGGAAGCCGGCUUGCCCCUGCGUCCUGUGAUCAGUCGGCUACGGACCGUCAUAACGGAUAGGGGUAAGAUGCAGGCUUGGUCUGUUUGGGUCAUGGAUCCAGAUAAUGUGCUAGACUGCGAUACGACGAGACUGGCGCUGCAGUUGAAGAUCGUGUUACAAGAAGAGUGAGCGAGUGCGAUGGGCAAGUUCACCUCGCGUCAGUUAAAUAACGUGCUGUUCAGUUGCAGUUCUGUAUCGCGGACGAACCACUUAAGCAAGGAUGGUGCUUCGGUUCCGCUCAACACGGUCAGUUUCCACGCAUUCACCACUCUUAUGAUGAAUCACACUUGCCCGCUGAUCGUGUGACAAGGCGGGGUGGAGGCAUACGCAGAGGAAAAGCUUGUCUCGUAUUUCAACCACACGAGUUAACUGUUGACGUGAAGGAUGGCAGCAUACCAGAGGGGCAGGGGGAAGGCGCGUCUGGAAGUGAUCAUCAGAGCUCCCAUUUAGUCAGCCAGCCCGGUAAUGAGGGAAGUGGAAAAGACAAGUGAGAAACUGCGGCACCGUAUGAACAUGACUGCUGAAGAGUGAAGUGUUUGCCUUGAUCGCUGACCCUCGCUGACGUUCCUGGUGGCUGUUUGACAAAACACUGAUACCACACCAUGCUGCUUGCAGAGCGUAUUCAAGCAGUCUCCACCACAUCAGAGGUGCUGCAUUCCAGCAGUCUCCACCACAAGAGCUGCUGCUGCCUGCAGAGCAUAUAUUCAAGCAGUCUCCACACCAACACAUGGCCCUGCCAUCAACAGCUGUAGACAAAGCCAGACUGUGGAAAGUGGCUGGUAUACACUCCUGUAUGAAUUUAUUCAUUGCAAUAAACUUGAGACAUGGA